AAAUCACUUUAUUCUAAUUAAUUCACAAAUGAGAACAUCACAAAAGGUGAUUUAAGGAGGCACACAAAUAUCUGCCCAACCCCAAAUACAAACCAUCUCAAUGAACUUCUAUACAGUAAGAACAACCUUUUUCAUUCCAAUUCUGAAGAAAGCUGUAUUUAAUGAUGAAGGAGAAGCUUAACUGGUGCUUUUACACUUUAUAUAUUCACCAUCAAUUAUAUUUUUAUGCUAAAUUAACUUGGUCAUGAGAGAUGAUUUUCCAUAUCUUCAAUUUGAACUUCUUGAUUAGGCUAAUCCAUUUGCAAAUCUGCAUUGUUUCAGCACCUCGCUGGAACCUUCACAAAGCUUCAGGUCACCCUGGUUCUGGCACACUCCAGAAACUGUUUCAUCUCAUAGUGGCAUGGGCCAAACUGCUGCUGCUGCUGAUAUGCUGGCUGGGUUCCCUGAGGCUCCUGGAGAAUCAGUCAUUGACCAAUUGAUGGGAAGGGCAGAGAGUUUCUAUGAGGUGGAUGGGAGAGAUUAGGAUGGUGCUGAACUACACAGGCAGAAGAGGAAGACUCAAGAGAAGAGACUAUGAAAGAGAAACCAAUAGAAGAAAACAUGGAAUCUGGUGUCAUAGAAGCCAAGGCAAGAAUGAGUUUCAGGAAGGAGAAGUACACGGACAGUAUCACCUUUGAAGAAUUGUAUGGUGACCCUUCUAGGACAGGACUGAGAGCUGUGCGGUUGACAACUUGGCCUGAGGGAAGAAAAAGAGGACACUUACCAGGAUGCUGGCAGCACCGGUGCCACACCACAUCAUUACAGACGCUACAUUCUCCCUUCUCAAUACCUCAUUUCCACCCUAUAUACAUACCAAUAUUUCUUUCAAAGAUAAUAAGGAAGAAGGUAGCUAUUUUAGAGAGCUGGUAGAGUGGGAUGGUUAAGAAUUUGGGCUUUGGGGUAGAUAACCUGUGUUUCUUCUAUCUCAGUUUUAUUACUCAUUAUUUAACAUUUUUGAGCUUAAAUUUUCUCAUCUAUUAAACUCUAAAAACAACAGUACUCUCCUACCCCAUGGGAUAAAUGUGAGGUUUACAUCCAGUCAUUUCCAGAAUCACACCUUUUUAAAGAAAAUACACCUUCAUACAUGGAAGAGGAAGUUGAUGACCUACAAUGUCUAAAGUAUUUUGUGUAUAUUAUAAUGUUUAUUAUUCUUAAAAUGCUUUGAGUUAGUUGAUUUGGUUUUAUCUCCAUUUUAUAAAUGAGAAAACUGAAGUUGAUCAAGGUAAAACCUUGCCCAAAUCCACUGAACCAGAGGGUUAAACCUCAGGUUUAUCUGAUUUAUAAACUAUUUUCUUUCCCUUACAUAAUGCAACCAUUCAUUCCAGUGAUUUUAGG